GAAAUGCGAUAAGUAGUGUGAAUUGCAGAAUUCCGUGAAUCAUCGAAUCUUUGAACGCACAUUGCGCCUCCUGGUACUCCGGGGGGCAUGCCUGUCCGAGCGUCAUCAUAACCCUCUCAAGCCUCGUCGCUUGGUGUUGGGGCGCGACCGUCCCGUCGGGCGGUCCGCUCCGAAUUUCAAUGGCAGACCACGGCGUCGACGUCAGCGUAGUGAGCAUCUUUGCAUCGCGAAGCGUCGGCCGCCCGUCCCGCCGGACCAAACCCUUCUUUCUCACGGUUGACCUCGGAUCAGGUAGGGAUACCCGCUGAACUUAA
rnacentral:misc_RNA from 1 species